GGUUAAUUAGGAAGAAAAUUAUUAGGAUAAUUUAUGUUGAUUAUUAUAUAUGAAUCCAUCUACAUGUAUAUAUAUCCCUCCUUUUGUUUCAAUAAAACAUAAGAAAAUAUUCAGUAUCCCUUUCCCUAAUUCUUACAUGAUAUCAGAGAUAGGGUUAGGGUUUUAGGAGCCAAAUUUCAUCAGACCAAAAAAAAAAUUAAACACCCAUUCUCGGCACCGGAGGAAGUUGACCAACGAUCUCCGACCAGUUCAAAGUGCGGCCAUCAUGAUGGUGUACGCAGGAGAAGCGGAGACGGUGGUUUGCGUGGCAGUUUGAGGCUGUCUGCGUUGGGUUUGCCGGAGGAGGGUAUUUCUGUGCGGUUUGCUUUCUCGUUCGAGGAUAGAAGAAAUAAAAGGGCUCGGUCGACCGGCUCUAUGCACGAAACCAGAAGGCCGAAGAAAGAAAAGCGCGGCAAAGCAAAUCGCACGACAGAAAGCGAUUUUUCGAUCUCCAGCCUGAUUUCGGCUGUUUCUGCAAGUGCCAUUCCAGAUUAGGGCUGACAUUGGAGUUCUAUGGUGAUUUCCGGUCGAAUAGAGGUUAUUUGGUAAUUUCAGAAGGCGGUGCAUGUAACUCCAGCAGCGGUGGCGCAGAUCUCCGGUGGUUGACAGUGAGGUUCUAAUAGGGUUAUUGAUACUCGUACGUGAAGAGGUACUCUAUUUUCUCAAAUUUUUUGGUAUAUUUGCAAUGUUUUUGGUGUAUCUCUAGCAGCUGUAUUUGGAUAUUUUUGAGUGACAAUUUGUGGAUAUUCUCAAGAUAAGAAUGAGUGAAAACAAGUUUUCAGUGAGUGAAAUAGUCUCAACCAUGUCAAGAUCACUGAGCAUAAGUUAAAUGAUACAAAUUAUUUGAAGUGGAGCAAAACUAUUAGGGUUUAUGUACGCAAUAUUGAUAAGGAUG
rnacentral:lncRNA from 1 species